UGGGAGUAAAAGUCGUAACAAGGUUUCCGUAGGUGAACCUGCGGGAGGGUCAUUAGUGAAUAAAUAGGGUGUCCAACUUAACUUGGGACCCGACCUUCUCACAUCUAACCCUGUGCAUCUGUUUAUUAGGCGAAAGCGGCUCUUCGGGGCUGUGGCAACCUAUCAACUUACAAAACACGAGUCUAUGAAUGUAUUUAAUUUUUAUAACAAAUAAAAACUUUCAACAACGGGUCUCUUGGCUCUCGCAUCGAUGAAGAACGCAGCGAAAUGCGAUACGUAAUGUGAAUUGCAGAAUUCAGUGAAUCAUCGAAUCUUUGAACGCAUCUUGCGCUCUCUGGUAUUCCGGGGAGCAUGUCUGUUUGAGUGUCAUGAAUUCUUCAACCCAAUCUUUUCCUAGUAAUCGAUUGGUGUUUGGGUUCUGAGCGCUGCUGGCUUCGGCCUAGCUCGUUCGUAAUACAUCAGCAUCCCUAAUACAAGUUUGGGUUGACUUGGCGUGAUAGACUAUUCGCUAAGGGUUCAGUGGCAACACUGAGCCAACUUUAUCAAGGGAGCUUCUAAUUGAAAAGUCUACCUUUAGAUUAGAUCUCAAAUCAGGCAGGGUUACCCGCUGAACUUAAGCAUAUCAAUAAGCGGGGGG
rnacentral:rRNA from 1 species